rnacentral:lncRNA from 1 species
GUACGGCGAGAAGCGGGAUAACAUGGUUAUUCCAGUUCCUGAAGCAGAAAGUAACAUCGCUUACUAUGAGUCCAUAUACCCUGGGGAGUUCAAGAUGCCAAAGCAGCUCAUUCACAUACAGCCUUUCAGCUUGGACGCUGAGCAGCCUGAUUACGACCUGGAUUCUGAGGAUGAAGUCUUUGUGAAUAAACUGAAGAAGAAAAUGGACAUCUGCCCAGUGCAGUUUGAGGAGAUGAUUGACCGGUUAGAAAAAGGCAGCGGUCAG